UUAGCGGAUGACCUGUGGCUGGGGGUGAAAGGCCAAUCAAACCGGGAGAUAGCUGGUUCUCCCCGAAAGCUAUUUAGGUAGCGCCUCGUGAAUUCAUCUCCGGGGGUAGAGCACUGUUUCGGCUAGGGGGCCAUCCCGGCUUACCAACCCGAUGCAAACUGCGAAUACCGGAGAAUGUUAUCACGGGAGACACACGGCGGGUGCUAACGUCCGUCGUGAAGAGGGAAACAACCCAGACCGCCAGCUAAGGUCCCAAAGUCAUGGUUAAGUGGGAAACGAUGUGGGAAGGCCCAGACAGCCAGGAUGUUGGCUUAGAAGCAGCCAUCAUUUAAAGAAAGCGUAAUAGCUCACUGGUCGAGUCGGCCUGCGCG
rnacentral:rRNA from 2 species